GACGAACGCUGGCGGCGUGCUUAACUCAUGCAAGUCGAACGGAAAGGCCCCUUUGGGGGUACUCGAGUGGCGAACGGGUGAGUAACACGUGAGUAACCUGCCCUUGACUUCGGGAUAACUUCAGGAAACUGGGGCUAAUACCGGAUAGGAAUCCUUGCUGCAUGGUGGGGGUUGGAAAGCUUCGGCGGUUAUGGAUGGACUCGCGGCCUAUCAGCUUGUUGGUGGGGUAGUAGCUUACCAAGGCUUUGACGGGUAGCUGGCCUGAGAGGGCGACAGGCAACAUUGGGACUGAGAGACGGACCAGACUCCAACGGGGGGCAGCAGUGGGGAGUAUUGCACAAUGGGCAAAAGCCAGAUGCAGCACCGUCGCGUGCGGGAUGACGGCCUUCAGGUUGUAAACCGCUUUCAGCAGGGGCGAAGCUUGUGGUGACGUUACCUGAAGAAGAAGCACCGGCUAACUACGUG
rnacentral:rRNA from 1 species